ensembl:lncRNA
CGUGGUAUAAUUCUCAAACACGUAGCCCAAAGCAGAUAACUCGUAAGCUGGAGAGGAAAUGGCGUGUCACAAAUUUAGAGGAUCAUCAUUUAGCCUGGAGAAAUAGUUUGCUGCUUUAUAAGAAAGCCCUCCGCAAAGCCAGAUUCUUACUCUGGAUGGCAUUACCUUGGCCUCCAGUAACACUGUGAGGAACCUUGGAGUCAUUUUUGACCAGGACAUGUCCUUCAACGCACAUAUUAAACAAAUAUGUAAGACUGCUUUCUUCCAUUUGCGCAACAUCUCUAAAAUUAGAAAUAUCCUGUCUCAGAGUGACGCUGAAAAACUAGUUCAUGCAUUUAUUACUUCCAGGCUGGACUACUGUAAUUCAUUAUUAUCAGGAUGUCCUAAAAACUCCCUGAAAAGUCUUCAGUUAAUCCAAAAUGCUGCAGCAAGAGUCCUGACAGGGACUAGAAAGAGAGCAGAUUUCUGUUAGGUGUAGGCUGUGUGCAGGCAGGAAAAGGACCCAAAGUGCAGACUCCGGAGACAAACGUGAACUUAAACAGCUUUAAUGCUGAACUCAAAAAAGGGUAACGAAACUUCCAAAGUACAAACAUUAACACAGGCCGGAAAACAAAACACACAGCAUGAGUGAGGGUAGAUAAGAGUAGAUCGCGACAAUGACAAACUGAAACACAGGGCUUAAAUACAUAGAGGGAGCAAUCAGGGAAUGGGCAACAGGAGGGAAACACAGCUGGGGCAAAUCAGGACUAACGAGACAAGGAAAGCAAAACCAGAUACACUAACAUGAAACACGGACUUUCAAAGUAAAACAGGAAACAUAACACAGAGACGCAAACUUAACAAGGGGAUACAGCUGACAGGGGAGACAGAGCAACUAUAGAACACAGAGACAAAUCAUAAGACAGAACUAAGAAACCCAAAGACUAGAAAUGAUAAAUAAUAUAAUAAACUCAAAAGCCCUGGGUCAACGACCCAGGCAUCCUAACAGUACCCCCCCCUAAAGGGCUGGCUCCCAGACAGCCCAAACCAAAACACCAAAACAAAAAACAACCCAACCAGGGCGGGCGGUGGGGGUCCAGGACGGAGGGCUCGAAACAAACCAAACACAACCCAGAGACCAAAAACAGAAAACACUGGAGCCCAGAAAACAACCAAACAAAACCAGGCACACGACAGUGCCAAAAAAAAAAAAGUUCAGGGGGCCGGCCCGGAGGCUGACGGCACCAAAGUCCAAACCUGGGUCGUUCAGGAGGCCGGCCGUGCGAAAAGCAACGGCGGCGAGGCAAGCGAAGAAGGUCCGGAGGCCGGCCACGCAGAGGGCAGCGGCGGUGAGCCAGGCGAAGGAGGUCUGGAGGCCGACGGCCCAAGAGCCCAGAAAACAGGUCAGGGGGCCGGCCGGGCGCGAGGCACCGGCGGCGACGGAGCAGGUCAGGAGGCCGGACAGGACGAGCAGGCCGGAUAGGACGAGCAGGCCGAGCAGGACCAGACGGCAUGGAGACCUCAGGCGCAGACGAAGCUAGACGGAGCGAGGCAGGACCAGGCGACACUGAAGGCGAAGACACGGAGGCCAGACCAGGCGAAGCUGAAGACACGGAGGCUGGACCAGACGAGGGUGACGCUGCAGGUGACGCUGAAGCUGGACCAGACGAAGGCGGAGCUGAAG